rnacentral:rRNA from 1 species
CGCAUGGUGUGUUGGGAAAGCCUUUGCGGCAUGGGAUGGGGUCGCGUCCUAUCAGCUUGAUGGCGGGGUAACGGCCCACCAUGGCUUCGACGGGUAGCCGGCCUGAGAGGGCGACCGGCCACAUUGGGACUGAGAUACGGCCCAGACUCCUACGGGAGGCAGCAGUGGGGAAUAUUGCACAAUGGGCGCAAGCCUGAUGCAGCGACGCCGCGUGAGGGAUGGAGGCCUUCGGGUUGUAAACCUCUUUUGUUAGGGAGCAAGGCAUUUUGUGUUGAGUGUACCUUUCGAAUAAGCACCGGCUAACUACGUGCCAGCAGCCGCGGUAAUACGUAGGGUGCAAGCGUUAUCCGGAAUUAUUGGGCGUAAAGGGCUCGUAGGCGGUUCGUCGCGUCCGGUGUGAAAGUCCAUCGCUUAACGGUGGAUCCGCGCCGGGUACGGGCGGGCUUGAGUGCGGUAGGGGAGACUGGAAUUCCCGGUGUAACGGUGGAAUGUGUAGAUA